AAUAGAUACCCUGGUAGUCCACGCCGUAAACGAUGAGUGCUAAGUGUUGGGGGUUUCCGCCCCUCAGUGCUGCAGCUAACGCAUUAAGCACUCCGCCUGGGGAGUACGGUCGCAAGACUGAAACUCAAAGGAAUUGACGGGGGCCCGCACAAGCGGUGGAGCAUGUGGUUUAAUUCGAAGCAACGCGAAGAACCUUACCAGGUCUUGACAUCCCGGUGACCACUAUGGAGACAUAGUUUCCCCUUCGGGGGCAACGGUGACAGGUGGUGCAUGGUUGUCGUCAGCUCGUGUCGUGAGAUGUUGGGUUAAGUCCCGCAACGAGCGCAACCCUUAUUCUUAGUUGCCAUCAUUCAGUUGGGCACUCUAAGGAGACUGCCGGUGAUAAACCGGAGGAAGGUGGGGAUGACGUCAAAUCAUCAUGCCCCUUAUGACCUGGGCUACACACGUGCUACAAUGGACGGUACAAACGGUUGCCAACCCGCGAGGGGGAGCUAAUCCGAUAAAAACCCGUUCUCAGUUCGGAUUGUAGGCUGCAACUCGCCUAC
rnacentral:rRNA from 1 species